rnacentral:snoRNA from 1 species
AACCCCCUUUCCCGCUCCCCACUAGAUCUAAAUAUUGGUCUGAGUGGCUGAAAAAGGAGGAAAAGUAAAAUUGAUGUUGACCUGGCGUCUUUCAGUCCAUACAUUCAUUUUCAAGCAUAU